rnacentral:lncRNA from 1 species
ACACAAAAGCUAUCGGAAAAAAGCCCAAGGACCCAAAAAGAUCCCCGGUCACACACAAAACCAACAAAAAAUGAAGCCCAUCCCAACACGCCAACAUGAGAAAUAAAGACAAAAAACACCCACAUGACAGAAGAACCUCGAAAUCCUGGAACCACCCAAACCCUCAAAGACAUAUAAGAUCCAUAUGUGUCAAACAACAUUGAACCCUAAAGGUGUCAACGUACAAAGAAUUGGUUGUCUCCCACUCGUAAGGGGAGCCGCGCGAUGCCUAGAGAAUUUACCAAAGAAUCACUCCCAAGAAUGAAAAAUAAUCCAAUCAACAUGUUGCUGCUCAGUCUCGAAGUUACUUCUUGAGAAAGGUCAUUACGAACUUUUCAAAUAUACCACACAUUCGCAUGCCCUAGCUCUCCUCCUAUAUACACCUAAAAGAGAACACACCAACUAAAUGUUAAGAACUCGGACACUGCAUAUCAAAUGCUCAUACACGACUACCAUAUUUGAUGUACUGAUUGUGUACUCUUUUUUUUUAUCCAAAAGUACUAAAAGUAAAUGAAGAAAGAAUAUGAGGAAGUAUACAUAGUACAUUUUUAUUUGUCUAAAAAGUAGUGAAAAUUUAACAUGGUUGGUUAUUAUAAAGUAAAACUAGCAGCCCUAAACACCGUAGUAGCAAACUUAAGCCAAACCCAUGCUGGCCCAUCAACUUAUAUAAUAAUUACCCACGAACGUUAGUGGAAAAACUCGGUUGCAUAUUUUAUUGUCUCCCCUAUAAUUGUUAUAACCUACAAAUACUUAUACGUCACUUAAAUUUGAGCAAUCUCAUCCAUAAAUUCCCACCCCACAAGGCCACAACAACGAUUAAAGAAACAAAUUAAGAGAGAUUAUACAUACAUAUACACUCCUACUUAGGUCCAUUCCACCAAUUAAAGGAAUCACAAACAAGAAGAGAAAAAUAAAAUAGCUAGAGAGAAAUACAUAAAGAUGAGUGAAGAAUGUGGUGGAAACACUAUUGCUACCUCUACUACUCCAUUAAACUGGUGGUAUCUUCAAGCAAAUUCUCUUUCUUCUAAUUGGAAUGAUGUUAAACAUGCAUGGAACAACCAAAUGAAUAAUCCAAAUUCUUCCUCUUCUUGUGAGGAUCAAGAUAUAUCAGUUUCUUCUACAUCUUUCACCAAUGCAUCAAACCAUUCAAGCCUCACUGUUGAAUCCUCUCGAAGAGUAUUCGUCGAGCCGCAUGCACCACCUUCCUCCAACGACUUCAUGGCCGAACAUGCUUCGGAUAACCAACUAUGGAGUCAUGUUUUAUCGUAAGUUUCGUAAAUUGUUAAUUAUUACAAUUGUGCUAUAUGUUAUAAUGAAAACUAGUCUCAAUAUCACGAAAUAAUGUGCGUUAGAAUUUCAGUACAAAGGAAAAAAAAUUCAUAUGCUAUUGACUGAAAACAUGGAUCUGUCCAAUGAUAUUAUUUUGUGACACUUCUUAAUGGAACCCCUUCAUGACAGUAAACAAUUUCCUAAUUAUUAAUAAAUAUCUGAUGUUUUUACUGCUAUAUAUUAUUGAAACUGGCAAAAAAUUUUAUUGCUAUAUAAGAGACAAAUCUUUUACAGUUUUAGGUUAGAAAUUUUGUGAAGUUUAAGGGUGUUUUAAGUUAGGUAUAUAGGGUUAAAGUAUACGAUGGUUUUUUUCAGUGUGAGUAAAUAAUAUUCUUCUAGGCCUUUGCUUUCCACUAUCUAUAACAUGCUAACAGCUGUUAUGUGCACUAUAAUCAGUGUUUUCACACUAUGCAACAAUGAUCUCUUGUUUAUCCAUCCACAUACCAAUAAAAACCCUCUUGGAUUCUGUAAGAUAUAUAAUUAAAAAGUAAAUUUAUUAUAUAUUUUAGUAUAUAUACAGCUAAUUAGCUUUUUGUUUUGAUAAGAAAUGUUUGUAUAUUUUAAUUACAACUAAUUUACUUUCUUAUGUAAAAUAAUUUAUAGAGGUGUUGAUUCAAAUGGAGAGUUACACAACAACCAAGAAAUUGGAGAGAAUUUCUUGGAUGGACUAUCAUCAAAAACCAUGACAAACACUAUGUUUGAUGAACCAGCUUGUGACUAUUUGAAGAAACUUGAUACAACAAGUUGGGAAUAUAAUACUAGUGGUUCAACUUCAUUCAAUACUAAUUUUGAGAAGCACUUAAAUGGGUACAGUGAAGCUCUUAUUGAGAAUAAUGAAAGGUUGACAAAAUUAUCCAAUCUUGUAAGCACUUGGUCUAUUGCCCCACCUGACCCUGAAGUUAGUAGCCACUUUGAUUCACAAACAAAUAACAAUUUGUCUACUAAUUUGAAUAAUUCUAAUUCGUCCAAUAUGGAUCAUAAUCACUACACACAUGAUUCUGACCCUAAUUGUCAUUUCAAACUACCUUUUGGUGAUUCCACAUCAUGUACUAUUAGAGAAGGAGUAGGUAAUAAAAUGUUCCCUAGUUGCCUUGAUAUUCAAGACAUGAAUAAGGUUAAGGAAGAAUAUCAUCAUCAUGCAAGUGAAGUGAUGCAAGGACAUGUAUUUAGAAAAUCACUUAAUCCAAAUGGAUAUCUUGAUGGAUUUAACUCAGUGGGAGAUCACAAUGGCAAAUUUUAUGAAGGGUUGCCAAAUAUUUCACCAUGCACCAAAAAUUUCUCAGAUGUUAUAUCCUUUAAUAGUAGGCUUGGAAGGCCAGUUGUUGGAAUCCAUCCACAAAGGCCUAAUAUGAGAUACUCAAACUUAUCUGAGUCAAAGAAACAAGGGCUUCAAACACCAUCACAUGUGAGUUUUUUCUUCUUCUUUUAUAGACAAAUUUUAUUUGUUAAUUUGUUUUGUUAGCAGCAUACAAAUUUCACUUAAAAUAGUGAUGAUCCAUCUUUAUAUCCUAUAUUUUUGAGAGAUCCAUAUUUUUCUAAAACGGUAAAAUUUAUUAAUAAUUAAGUUUCUGCACUAGACGAACAGAGACCUGUAAAAUAUAUAUGAGACAAAUCCGAAAAAAUAUAUGAAGUAGCGACAAAAAAUUUAAAAAGAAAUUUUUAUAAUGUAUUUGUCUCUAUAAAUUAGACAUGGAAAUUUAAUUAUUUUUGUUUCUAAUUUCUUGGUUGAUUUAACUUUUUUUAGUAUGGCAACUAAUUUCUAUUCAAAAUUUAGAGAAAAAGUCAUGCUAGCUCUGACAUUAUUUUGUCAAAUAAAAUGUGUAUGCAAUUAAUUUAUGCAGAUGAGAACCACUAAUGGAAGAGGAGAGGGAACAACACGUGAAGUAAAGAAGAAAAGAUCUGAAGAAUCAUCAGAAGCAAGUUUGAAAAAGCCUAAGCAAGAUACUUCAACAACAAAUUCAUCUUCAAAGGUACAUAAAUAUAUUUAUUAUAUAUUAUGUAAUAUACGUACCAACAUGAACUAAUUAUGAGUGUAAAAAAGUCAUAUAAAGUGGGGGAAACCUUUUUAUUUUGUGUAUUAAUGUAAAUUAAGAAACUUCUAUUGAUUGUUUAAAAGGUGCAAGCACCUAAAGUCAAGCUAGGAGACAAGAUCACAGCCCUUCAACAAAUUGUGUCUCCAUUUGGAAAGGUUACUACAGAAUGCACUAAUCCCCACACCCUCUUCCCUUUUUCAUUCCUAUCUUUUUUGUAUAAAUAAUUCACAGUGCUUUUACUUUUCUCACUACCUACUUCAUAAUAAUCAAUUUAUUUUAUUUUUCUUUGUUGAAUUUCAGACUGAUACAGCAUCUGUGCUGUUUGAAGCAAUAGGGUACAUAAAGUAUCUUGAAGAACAAGUCCAGGUGUGUAUCAUUAUGGAAAAGUUCCCAUUCAUUAUGCAUUAUAUGUAACUAUAUAGUAUAUAAUAUACAUUAUUGUUGCUUUUCUCCUCCUUUUCAUUUUUAAUUAAUGCCAAGGAAACUUGACUUCUAGGAUUAUUAGUUCUUUAUCAAAAUGAAUAAACUAACAACAAUGCUGUGUUGAGCGAUUACACAUUUUCCAUGAAUAUCUCAUGAGCUUCAUCAACUAUAUAAUAUAAGGAGAUUUUAAAUAACACCUAACUAAAAUCUAAUUAUGAUUAGUAAAAAUAUGUGCCCCUGCCAGUAUGUUAAUCUUAGCUGCAACAAAUUACAAAAUUGUAUACUAUUAGUAGAUUAAAAACAAAACAAAAUGAAAAAUAAAAAUUUUAUAGGGACUAAACAUGUUUAACCAUGUACCAAAAAAAAAACAUAUUUAACCAUAUAUACUUUAAGUGAUUAAAGAUGCAGGUUUUUUUUAUCAUAACCCUUCCAUUCCUAGAAAAUGGCCUAUAUAAUACAUGUUCCGGCCGGAAAGUAAGUAAAGUCUGACAAAUAAUCAUUUUAAGUCAUAAUUUGAAACCAAGUUUCUUCUAAACUAUUGGUAUUAAAGGUGCAGCUUCAAACACAAACAGUUCAACUAUAAGUAAUAUAAUCAUCUUUUUCUUCAUUAUAUACAAUUAACAGUUUAAUUUAUCUUUAAUUAAUUCUUUUUACGUUCAUAAUUAUUAUGCAGUUACUGAGCAACCCUUACUUGAAGGCAAAUUCACACAAGGUAAUUAAGAAAUUAAUCUAUAUAUAGAUAUCUCUAUUAAGUACUUUUCAAAAUUAAAUUAUUCUCUCAAAAUUUCACUCUUAAUUAGAGAUGAUUAACAUAAUAAUUAAUCCAGGAUCCAAGGGGAAGCUACUUCGAUAGAAAAGAUAAGGAGGAUGCAAAGCUAGACCUUCGAAGUAAAGGUCUUUGUUUAGUUCCUACUUCAUGUACCCCUAUAGUUUAUAGAGAGAACAAUGGGCCAGAUUACUGGACACCAGCGUAUAGAGGAUGUAUGUAUAGGUGAUUAAUAACACAUGCAUAUGACUUAUGCCAAAAAUAGUAUGUGGUUGUAUGUACUAUAAUCUUGGAAAUUAUAAGAUCUCGUCAAUAAAUCAUAUAUUAUCCUGAAUGUAACUAUUUAUUUAUUGUCUUGAUGUAAUGCCUGGUUACACGAGUAUACACAUUUUAGUUGACCUUCAAACAAGGGCUAGUACUUAGCAUUAUUGAUUUUUCUUUUUUUAAAGUUCUCUUACUAGAAAGAAUGUGUUUUUCAUACUAAAAAAUUACUUGAGUAAAAAAAACGAUAUUAAUAAAAAGACUCUUAAAGUAAAAAUGUUUCUCUCAGUGAUAUAGACAAAAGAUGCACAUUUUACCAAUUUAGCUCUCCAAUUACAAACAAAUUAUUAACAGUCACAAUUGUUGGAUGAUGUAAAAAUUUGACAUUAACUAAUGUUUUUUUUACGGAUUAAUAAUUUUUUUCUACGAAUAUAUAUUCAAUUUUCAUUUUCUAUAGUUUUAUUCAAAUUGCUAACGAAGGAAAUGAAACACUCAUGUAAUGUAUAUGUGUGAUAGGGAGAAGGUGAUAAGCAAACUAGCUAGGAUGAAUGUAUUUUCAAAAUCAAUGAAAAUAAUGUUUAGGCACUUUCAAAGUUUAUCAAAAAGUUUUAUAUGUUUUAAAAAAAAUGUAAAAGAAGAUUGUGAUGAAAAUAUUCUUUUAUGUUCAUUUGUUGAAGUGAAAAUAAAAAAAAAUAAAAUAAUAUUUAUUAGGUAUAAUUCAGAGUAUAAUUAAUCUCACAUUGAGUCUCUCAUUAGUUGGUUAGUCAAAAGAAUAUGAAAUUCAUUUUAUUUUCUAAUCGAAAAUUAAUUAUAGCGAAGCAAUUAGAUAAUUCACACCUAUAAUACAAUCUUUAAUUUUCUAAUAGGUGUAAAUUCUCUUAUAGGUGUGAAUUAUAGCAAUUAGGUAAUUUUCUAAUACAUACCUAUAAAAUUAUCUAAUCUAAUUGUUAUAAGAAACUUCUAAGGUACACUCAGAAAGUGAGGUGUACCGGUACUCAUGCUUCAUAAUUUUAUAAAUUAACGAUCAUUUUUUAUGAAAUAAAUAGUUAUUUGUUAAUAUUAAUAUUUUAUAGAACAUCAUUUCAUAAGAAAAAACAUCAUUUCAUUGUUUAUAAGAAUUAUAAUAAUUUUUUUUACAUAUUAUCAUAAAAAAUAAUCAAUGUUCUCAAUUAUGAGUGAAAAAAAUUCAAAAAAAAUUAAUUUUAUUUCGUUGACACUUUUGAUAAAUAAGAUUUAAUUAUUAUAAUUAUAGAUGAUAAAAAAUAAUAUUUUUCUUUAAAAAAACAACUCAUUUAACUAUUAAUUUAAAAAAUGAGUAUACCAAUACACUCAAAUAUAUUGGAUGUACCAUAAAAUUUGCAUUGUUAUAAUUAUCUUAUACCGAAGUAAUUAGAUAAUUCACAGGUGUGAAUUUUUUGAUGAUUGUAUUAUAAGUGUGAAUUAUCCAAUUGCUUCGCUAUAAUUAAUCUCCACCUAAAAUUUCACUAAUCAACUUUAGUUGAGUCUCUCUUCUCAAUUACUACCUUCGUCCUAAUUAUAAGACUCUUUUGAAAAAAUAAUGGGAAUUAAGAUAGUGGAUAUUUGUAUUAAAUAUGUUUGUAAUUACUAUUGUUUUUACAAUUUUAUCCUUUAAGAAAUAGGGUUGGCUUAUGUUUUCAACAUUUUAUUUAUUGCUGAUUGAAGAAAAAGAUGUAUAAUAAAUAGGGGCAUGUAUGUAAAGAAAUAAUUAAUGUAGUUGGAAAUAGAAAAGGGGUCUUAUAAAAAGGGACAAAAUUUUUUUCUCAAAAGGGUCUUAUAAUUAGGGACGGAGGUAGUAUGUUUUUUUUUCUUCAUCCAAAAAAACCCUUUUUAAAGUGAAAUAUCAUAGAGUUAUUUAUUUUUUCGCAAAGGACUCACCAAAUAAUGUAUACAUCACCUCAAACCCUAGUCGUCACCCUUUUCUUCUUCUUUUCAGAGGGGUGAUUUAGGGUUAUUUUUGACACAAAAUCACCCCUCCGAAUUGUUUUUUCUUCUAUCAUAAUUAAAUAACUGAUUUCACAUAUUUUCAGUUUUCUUUCGUUUGAUUUGUGAUUACGUCGUCUCUGAACGACUCUGUUUGUUUUGAUUUCCCGUCUUUAUCCGGUGUGUUUUUGAUUUCCCAUCUUAGUGCGGUGUUUAUUUGAUUCAGGUUGAAAGAUUAGCUUUAAGCAAGUGCAGAUCCGAUCAAUGACAAUGACUUUGGCGUCGUCAACGUUGCAGAUUCGGAGACAUGAGUAUUCCGGAGACAUGAAUAUAGUCAUAUUAAUUAUAUUUGUAGGCAUAGGUACUUUGCCGUUUUAUGCUAUUAACAUGGAUGCUGUGAGUUUGUUCACAGAUUCAUCCUUUUUAUUUUUAGCAAAUUUGAAUUUGUAUUGUAUCGAUGUACUCUAUCAAUUUGAAAGAAUGCAUAUUGUUUAUUUUUGUCAAAAAAAUAAUAAUAAUGUAUACAUCACCUUAUACCGUAAGAAGCAUAAAAGACACUCAUUAACAAAAUAUUUGAAUAAGAAAGCAUAGCCUGAACUAUAUAAGCUUUGGAAAGUUAAUGAAAACAAAAUAUAGUUCUCCAAAUCUAAAAACCAAGCUGAUUAAAAUUGUUGAAAUUGAACAUUUGAGUUGACUCUAGUGUUUGUCACGAUCAAUUUGCAAGAGAAGGACCAAAUUUGACAUGUAAAUCAAAAUAUUUGAUAAAAGAAUUAGUGUGCAUGUUCAUCACCUGAUGUACAGAGAAAAAUACUAAAUAAAUUAUAUAUUCAUGGAUGGUCAACUGAGAGUUAGCUAAGUGUGCAUCACAUUAAAAACUUUUGUAAUAUAUUGUAACUUUUUAGGUUAUUGUCACUAAUUCUCAGUACUUUAGAAUAUGUGAAAUUGUAGAUAGAUUCUUCAUAUAUAUAGAAUCUUCAUACAUAAAAGGUUCACACUCCAUUUUAUACUCCUUAAAUAUGGUAUCGUUUUUAAUUUUUUUUGUAUAAUCAGUAGAAUCAUAUUAUUAAUUGACUGUAGAAAAACAAAACCAUAUAUGGUGGAACAGCAUGGAUGGUUUUGAACAUGUCCACUCACUAACAUUGAACGAUUUAGGAUGAUUUAAACAAGUAAAAGAUGGGAUUGAUUCUAGAAGUAGAGAGAAUGACGUAUUGUUAAGUGCCAAUGAGAAAUUGGUCAAAGGGGAGAUGAGCAAAAAAGCCAAUUGCAAGGUUGGUGGUGCACUCAAACAUAGAUCAGUCAUGCUUCUUAUAAUGACAACCAAGACAAACACACCACCCUCACAAAUCCUCACAAUUUUUUUGGAACAAAAGUAGUUUUUUUUUUUCAUAAUCCAAAUAUAUGGAAUUGAUAUAAUGAUAUAAUUCAUUUCAGUAAUUUUGAAAUUGAUAGUAAUUUCAAAUUUUUAGAAACAUCACUCCCUUCUUUUUCUCUUCUCCUCUUUUCAUCUUCUUCGUUCGUCGAUAAGGAGUGGUUUAGAAUUAAUUUUUUUUGGCAUAAAUCACUCAUCUAAUUAAUUUUUCUAUCUUUUUAUAUAAGUGAUUUUUCGUAUAUUUUUUUUUUUUGUGAUUUUGUCAAUUUAGUACGGCCUAUUAUUUUGUUUGCCAUCUUUGCUGCUAUGUUAGUUUGUUUUUUCGUUUUGUUCUGGUGUUUAUUCUAUUUAAUUGAUAUAUUAGAUUUGAUCUGAAAGCAUUGAUAUCUCAAACACUUUAAUUUUAUUGCAUUGAUAGGCUUUAUCAUAUUUGUAUUUAUAUUUUUCUCAUUUUCCUUAUGUUCUGAGAUAGAAUAUCAAUCAUGGCAAUUUGAAUUUUGAAAUGAUAGGAAUUGAUAUUCACUUUGGCAAUUUUGAAAACUACGGAAUUGAAUUUUGAAAUAAUUUAGAUCUAAAAGAGUUGAUAUUUUUUAACCUUUUUUUUUUUUUUUGUUUUUUUACCUAAAAAAAUAUUUUUUUUCUACAUCUUGUUCGUAUAAGGAUAUUAAUUUAUUUUAUAGACUAAUAAAAAGAUUAACAUCCUUCUUCUUCUUCAGCCUACAAACUAGUUCAUCACCACCACCGACAACCUCCAUAACACUGUUAAACGUUUAAAUCCAACAUCAACAAUAGCAAACAACACCAAGAACCAUUUCCUUCCAAUAAACAAACACAAACUAAAAAUUCUUAUUCAUCGUCAACUCAAACUCAUACCACAAUCUCCGUCAUCAUCAUCGCAAUACCAGAAAACAUUUUCCCUUCAAACUAACAAACCCAAACGAAGAAACUUGCAAACUCGCUUUUGUUGCCUAUAAUUGGAUUUGCACCAUAAGAAUUUUGUUUGUGAAUUUAGAUGGUUUUAUGCUUUUAUGUGGUCGAACGUGGCAUUUGAAGCACUUUCCAUUAACAAUGUUGAUAAACUUUUUUGAACAAACAAUGUUGAUAAACUUAAAGUUGGAUGCAAUAAGCUAUUAAGGUUCAUAGUGCAAAUCGUUUUCUUUUGUUGCUAAGUUUUUUUUUGUUUUUAAAUCUUUCUUUUAUUGGAUUUGGUCCCUUGCCAAUUUCAUUUUUUUUGGUUUUCGUCCCUCUCACUUAUUGACUAAUCAACUCAUUUGCCACGUGUCAUUUGCUUGCCACAUCAUCCAUUGUCACGCCAUCAUCUGAUUGCUCUCAUACAUGUUUUUGUAACAAAUGAUGACAGCAUGAAUGAAAAUCAAAACGUUUGCAUCUUACAUAAUUUGUAUAAAAAAAUGUUUUGAGCCUGAAUUAGAAGAAGCCCGAUCUCUUUUUUUACCAUAUCAUUAAAAAUUUAUAAAGACAAUAUUUUAAACUUUUCUAAUUACCUUUUACGCCAUCAAUCACUUUUAUAUUACCAUUUUUGUAUGUGUAUAGAAUUUUUUUAUACAAUUUCGUCAAAUUUAAUGGAAAAUAUAACAUAUAGCACAACUCUUUUAACAAAGGUUAUAAGUUCAAUCCAGCUAUGAAAUGUAGCAAUGUUAAAUAUUUUGAAGAGAAGCAUUGCGAUUCAUUGCUUUUCAUCAUCUCCCAUUUUGAUGAAUGAAUUGGUAGCAAUUCUCUUUUUAAUUCGUUCAUUCAUGGGUGGAGCUGGGCUUUGUUUCUUCCAUGCCUCCUAAUUGGCCUUUUAUGUAACUUUGCUUUUCGGAAAUUGUUUUUCUCCAUUUUGUUUUUGCUUAUUUUAUUUAUAUGUCUACGUGAGGGACGUUAUACCCCCACACCUCUACACUUAUAUCUUACCCAACAAUUUUUAAAAAUUCCAAUUUUACCCCUUUUACUAUAUAAUCUUUUACACAUAAAUUUUUCACCCUCAUUUUCAACAUCUCUUAAUUAAGGAUGAGUUCACCGCCACAUGAUAUUUUUCUUGAUACUUAUUUCCUUUUUUGUUUUUCACUAUCAAACGUUUCCGAAAAUAUUUCGGAAUAUUCAUAUAUACGUUUACAAAAAUAAUAUGAGAACUAGUCUCUCUUCAAAUGAAUGAUGCAACACAACUUAUCUUUCUCCUUUGAUGGAAAAAAUUGUUCUAAUACCAAUUAUUGAAAGAAAAAAUCAAUAAAAAAUCUUUAAACAAGCGGCAACACAACCACAAAAUAUGUAAAAGAGACAAAAACAAAUCACAAGACUGUUUAUCGACACUUCACACCUUCAUUCAUAAUAUCUUAACAAAAUAUUUGUUACAAAAAUAUGCAUACUUUUACUAGGAAUUGCAAACCCUCUUAUACAAUUAUAAUUUUUGCAUAGAUAUAUGCAAACUAAUCUUUCUCAAUUACAAUUUUUGUAAGAAAAACUACAAACUCUUUUAUGACACACAACUACCCAACCUCUUUUUUUUUUUUUCAUUACUCGAUGUGCGAUGUGAAAGAAUAUCAAUUUUAGAGAACAAAUGACUAUAAUUUAUAGGUGGCCUUUAUGAUUUUUCGCACAAAUUUUCAUACUGUGAAAUGUGAAUAGAUGCAUGUGCAGAGAUGGAGUUCAUAAUUUAAAUCUUACGUUAAAAAUAAAACAAGUUUUUAAUGUUAUAGUUUAAAAAUAAAAAAUUGUUUCUUAUAUACAAUAUUUUUAUGAAUAUUUACAUAGUUUUUAAAAAAAAUUAAUAAUGAAUGGUAUAUUCGUGUCCUGUAUGACACAAUGAAACAUAUGCACAUGAAUAAAUUAUACAUUAAGCCUAAUCAUAUGAUCUGAAAAGAUUUUCUCUACAUCUCGUCGAGCUAGCAAGGUAGAUAGAUGUCAACUAAUAUAUAUACAUUAAUUUUUAAUUUGAAUUUUUUUUAACAGCGUUGGAUUGACUUAUAUGUGAUAUUUUAUUUCAUAUUAGGGUAGAGUCUGCUCAUUGGAAACUGAAGCAAAUGUUGGAAAACAGCAAAGAUGACUUGUGCAAAUGUUGGAAGGGUAUGCACAACAUGAAGUUGCAAUUAGGAAAAAUCAUAGCUUCAUUUCAAAAAAGUUUUUAUGAAGUUGAACACGCACACACAAGUCUAUUUUAUGAAAAAUUGCGUGGAUUUGUUUCUAGAGCUGCUUUAACAUGCAUUGUUGUUGAGUUUGAAAGAGUUAGAUAUAUGGAAAUCGACGAAUCGACAUGUGGUUGCAAACUCAGAACAACAUAUGGAUUGCCUUGUGCUUGUGAGUUAGGAAGAUAUAAAAUUAGUGGUAUACCUAUACCAUUAGAUUCAAUUCAUAUUCAAUGGAAGAAAUUAAGCAUGGAAAAGUCAACAAGAGGAAGACACGGAAACUGGAUAAAACGAUUGAAACUAAUAAAACCUUAUUAUAUGACUAAUAGAAUAAAAACACCCCCUUUGAAUUACAAAGUGUGGCUAGAAGGGAACAAAUACAUUAUACAGUAUAAGCAAAGAGUGUGUUAAUUACUUACAUGACCAUACCACAGGGAGCUUUUCUAUACUUGACAUUAAAUUUAAGACAGUACACGUUUACUUAAGCUUAAUUUUACUAUAUUUAGUUAGCAAAAACAGCUUUUCAACUACAGUAGUUGUUUGAAUCCUUUAAAAAAAUACAAGUAAUUGUUUUAACUUUUAAUCACACAAAUAAACUACUCCAAAAUCCAAAUACAUAAACAAGCUUGGCUAAUGUGCUCUUGAUCUUUACAGACAAAGCAACAAUCACCCUUUAAAGUCUAAACAAUCCCAUUACUUAGAGAUACACAUAAGAAAGCACAAAGAAGCCAAAUCCGAUAUAAAAAAUAAAUGUGAUACAUACACAAGUCACAUAUAAAUAAUACUUCAUCAUCAGGGAACAAUAUAUCAGUCUUUUCCAUGUACAACGAUUCAUUAAGCAAUUAAAAUAGCAAUUGCUAAUAAGAGGCGCGGACAUGACCUCAAAAUAACAGAAUUAUCACAACAGACAACAAGUAAGGAUGGAAUAACACAAUUAAGUAAGUAAUGGACAUAGUAUGAAUAACUAAAUGAAUUCUACGAAAACAAUGUAACUAUAUUUCAUUUCCAUUAAUUGCAUAUAUAGAGGUAACCUUGAUCAGUAGUAUAUCUAUGCCCAUUAAUUAGUAUAUCUAUAAAAAAAAAUAGUAGAUCAUGACAAAAGCUACUUCAGAGAGUUAAACAAAAAAUUAAAAAAGUAAUUUUUUUUUGCGCCUGAACUGGAAUUCUUGGCCAAACGAUUCCGGGAAUAAUUAACCGAAAUACUUUGAACGCGUUUUCCGGAAACUACCGGAACACUUCACACAUGGUUUCCGGAAAUCAACCGGAACACUUUGGUUAACACGAUUCCUCGGACGAUUCCAUGAAAGGACGACGGCAAUAUUUCCAGAAAACGGUUUCGUGGAAGGAUUUAUAACACUAACCCAGAAAAUUUUGAAAAACCUAACCGUGAACGAUUCGUGAAUGAUUCCAGAAAAUAAUUCAGAACAAACACAUGGAAUUAGUGGAUGAGACAGAACACAGAAUCAGAAUAAAUGAUGCUUACUUGUUUGUUGGAAGAAGAAUCAGAAGAGGGUUUUCCAGAAAAGGGGAUUGAACGUUGAAGGAGAAGGGUUUAGAGUGUGUGGGGGUGAAAAGUGAAGGGUAAUUUUGGUAGUUUGUGUUAAAUGUUGGGGUAUAGGUAUAAAUGUAGGGGUGUAGGGUAUAACGUCCCUACGUUAACUCAUGUUGAAAAAAUCGAACGUGAGUUAACUCACGUUGGGCAUAAUUAAGGGAAUGAGCAAUUUAUUGCUUUUUUCAAAUAAAAAGUUGCUUAAAAACACAUGAAAAUGACACAAACCGCUGUAGUUAUCUAAGCUUAGGGUUUUUGGUCAUUUUCAUGUGUUUUUAAGCAACUUCUUAUGUGAUUUUUUUUUUUUUUUUAAUGUUUGUAACAGCUAAGUUUAUCAACUAUUAGUCAGCUUAUAGUUUCUUAUAAUAAUAUGAGAUUUCUUUUUGGGCGAGCGUGUUUAGUUUUUUUUUAAUAAAAAUAGAUAAAUAAAAUAACUUUAAUCAUUUAAUAGUGUUUGUUUAGGUUUUUAUUUUAAAUAUUAUUGUUUUACUCUAAAAUGAAAAGCUAUUAGAAUUAACUAUCUUUAAAAAUUUUUUUUUUUUUUCAAAAAUAUAGAGGUAACACAUGAACAAGUUUUUCUAAAAAAAAAAACAAUUAUUUUUAUAGAAGUAAACAAACAGAAAUAAUUUCAGAUUUUUUAAAGAAACCUCUAAAAAGAUCUCUAGAUUUUUAUAAUACAAAAUCUUUUUUCUUUUUAAGUUGAAACAAAACACCCUUAAUCUCUUUUAUUUGAUUUACCCUAGUUACAUCGCAUAAACCUUGAAUUUCACCAUUUCUAGAAAGAAAAAAAAAGGGUUAAAUAUGUUUUUGGUCUCUAUAAAUAUACCAACUUUUCGUUUUAGUCCCUCUAAAAUUUUCCUUCAACUUUUAGUCCCUAAAAAAUUUUCAAUUACUACUUUUGGUCCCUAUUUUUAAUUUAAUUUUUGUAUUUUUUAAUAAAAUUGUACAGAAAUGUGUAAAAUAUUCUAAAAAAAAUAAAGAAAUUAGAAUUUUUUAACAAAACACAAAUUAAAUAUGAAUUUUUAACUGUAAAAAAUAUAAAAAUUCAUAUUAAAUUCAUGAUUUGUUAAAAAAUUCUAAAUUUUUUUUGAAGUGAUUCUUAUAAUAUUUUGAAUUUUUAUGGAAAAUUUUAUUAAAAAAUAUGAAUUCUAGAUAUGAGUUUACUUUAAAAAGAGACCAAAAGUGAAAAUUGAAAAUUUUAUAGGAACUAAAAGUUGAAGGAAAAUUUUAGAGGGACUAAAUGAAAAGUUGACAUAUUUAUAGGGACUAAAAAUAUAUUUAACCCAAAAAAAAAAUACCCUUAAUUUGUUUUCAAAUUUUAACGUGACCACUGCAGCAACUAUAGACAAGGGAAAAUAUGGCGAUACACGCAGACUCCAUCGGUAAGAAACCUAGGUGUUUCUAGAAAGUUUAGUGGAAUAAUGAUAGUCAUAGUUGAGUCUCAUUGUUUACAAAUGCCAUUUGUAAAUUUUAUUUUGAAGGUGAGAAAAACACAAGAAGGGGGUUGAAGUGUGUUAACUUUUUCUUUUCUUUCUCUAUCUGAAACAAGCAGGUCAGAAGCAGGUAGAAUUCUACUUCUGAAGAGAUGUUCAGAACUAAAUGCAGCGGAUACGAAUAGAGAGAAAGAGAGAAAAAAGACACAGACAAUUUAUACAGGUUCCUUCCACAAACUGGAAGUCAGUCAUGUCCCCCUUGCACUUCCAAGGGGAGUUCACUAUGUAAUAUCUGAUUACAAAUGCUCACUACUAAACUUAGUAUGAGACUUCAAAUUGCUCAAGCACAACUGCAAGAGACUUCCUAUGCUCCUGAACACAAUCAAGAGACUUCUAUUGCUCAAGCACAACUGCAAGAGACUUCUAAAUUCAAACAGAAUUACAAUGAAAAAUGUUUGAGGUUGAACACUUGAUAUACAAUCAAUGGUGUUCACAAUACAAAUCACAGACUCUAGAAUUCCUAAGAUAUAAGCUUUGUUAUGAAAUUCUAAGUGAACUUUGAAGUGAAGAGCAAUUUCAACAGAGUUUUAGCUUAACUGAUGCGUAGUAUUGUUCUUUAGUAACUCUGAGUCUUCACUCCUUUAUAUAGAGUUGUGAAAGAGACGUUGAAAUGUCUUCUUAUUCAAAAUAGAGUCGUUUGAAGCUCUUGAUCUAUCACCAAUGAUCUUUUGCCUGAUAUGGUUAUUGUCCUAUGAAGGAUCAAUUUCAAAUGUGUUCCCAAUGUGAAUAAACAUUGUUGCAGGCAGAGCUGUUAUCCUUGUCUUGUAGCAGAGACAAACUCAUAAUAGUGGAGGUAGUGGUUGUACACUUCGUACAAACGUACUAUGUCAACGCUCUUUGAAGAAAAAGCAUCCAAUGCAUUUCAAAAUAGUCGUGCCACAAUUUUCCAGUCUUCUGCAAUCUUUAGGCGAGUUAGAGUCCUUGAAACAGCUUUUGAAAAUUUAAGUUCAAUCUUCUGAUGAACUGCAGCUUCUGGUGAUACACAGCUUCUGAUGAACUUGCUUCUGAUGACGUCAUCACUUCAGAAGCACUUUGUCUUUAGGCGCACUUCAAACUUCAGGAGCAGUUUUCUUCAGACGCUCGAAGCUUCUCUUUUUGUUGAUAUACUUGCUCUUUAUUUGUUCUUUGAAGACCAAUUUAAUAUGACAAUUUUUUUUCUAUAGUCCUGUACACUUGAACAAAUAUUAGCGUAUCCAAUUGACAAUUUUUAAUACUUUAUUAUCAUCAAAACUCUCAAGGGUUAUUAUUGCUAAACAAAUUUUAUUCCAACACAUUUUACAUACAUAAUCAAUCAAACAAUAUGUUACUCGCAUUUCUUUUUACUUUAUAUUUAGUUAUGUUUUUAUUAGCUUAGUUCUCAAAAAUCACAACGGAAGAACGUAGUUUCUUUCUACUUUAUACUUACACUCUUUAAAGAAUGGAAGAACAUCGUUUCUUUCUUGGCAUAAUCGUUUGGAGGAAAAGAGAAUCAUUGUUGAGAUCUAUUAGCCAGUUCAUCAGCUAAUUUGGCAACAAUUUGUAAUAAUAAAAUUGUUGUAUUAAUAAAAACAAAGCAAGGUGAGGACUAAAAAUUACCAAAUAACUGUGUGAAUAUUGGUAAUAAGAUAGGAAAUAAGAGAAGGAGUGAUAAAGAAAGGGGUAAGGGCUACAAGGGUCAGUGGCCCCAAACCAUCAUCUACGAAGGACACAGUAGCCUGUGCAAUAGCAGCAUGUACAAUAGUGACAUAUUUUACCCUCCAAUUCAUCACUCUUUGCUAGCAAGAAAACUUUUAAAUUUUACCACACAUAAUUAAUUUUCCAAUACAAAUUAAAUGAAAGAAAACACACAUAGAAAGAGAUAUUGUUAUAUAUGCAUACGGGUGGACAAGCAUGCAUGUAAAGUAGCAAAAUAAAUUAUUUAAAUAUUCAUAUGACACAAAAUGAUUGAGGAAUAUAACAAGAGAGGGUAGCUAAAUUUUACACACAAGAAAACAAUAGCCAGAAGAUAAAUAGCUAGGUAUAUUGUUUUCUUCUCCUCGUCUCUUCAUUACUCUUGUCUCCUUAGAUCCUUUCCUCUUGCAACCUUUUUGCUCUCAAUCUGUGAGUUUUUUUUUCUACUUUUUCUUCUGACAUGAAAAAAACAACCACAAAAAAAUCAAAUAUAUAUAUAUUUCAGCUCUUUCUAGCUUCUUUAAAUUAUUUUGUUAUAUAGUUUCUUUAAUUUAACUGAUCUCUUUUUUGUUAUCCUUGUUCCAUGAGAGAAGGAAACAUGUUAAUGAAAUUUUUCUUUUAGAAGAAGAAUUAAACAUUUGAUUAUUAAGUUUUUGUUUAAAAAUUUCAGAUUGCAAAAUAUAUAAUUAUGGCGGCUGCUUCUUCAUCUACAUCAUUCUUUGGAAUCAGAGAAGAAAAUCAAAGUCAAAUAACACAUCAUCAUCCUCAUCCUCAAUCAACUACUACUUCUGCUACUUCCUCAGCUCCUUCAACCACAGUUCCUCAAAAGAAAAGAAGGAAUCAACCUGGAACACCAAGCAAGUAGCUUAAUUAUUUUUAUUUUCAUUAUUACUUAAAGCUUCAACAUGCACACACCCUUCUCGAAUUUUUUUUUUUUUUUUUUUUUGUAUUAUUUUCUCAAAAAACAAGCAUAAUGAAACCCUAAAUCAUGAACAUGAGUUAGGGCUCUGAAUUUCUUUUACAAAAAAGCUAUAUAAGAACUAUGUUUAGGGUGCAUGCAGUCUCCUCCAAUUUUAUUCUCAAAAGCAUAUGAGACUUCGGUUUUAAUUUUUGUAAUAAUUUUUCUAACUUCUACUGUUUUUUACUACUAUUACCAUGAGUUUGUGGCUUUUAAAUGGAAAAAAUAACAAUAAAACAUAGUUCUUCAUUUCAUGGUGCAUAUAUAUUCAAUUAUGAAUACUUCUUUUGAUGUUAAAAAAACUAGAAUUUUAUAAUAUUUUUCUUAUACAAAAAAAUAUAUAAUAUUUUGUUGUUUUGGCAUUUUUCAUGGUAAAAAGAUCCAGAUGCAGAAGUGAUAGCACUAUCUCCCAAGACUCUAAUGGCAACAAAUAGAUUUAUAUGUGAGGUUUGCAAUAAAGGGUUUCAAAGGGAGCAAAAUCUUCAACUUCAUAGAAGAGGACACAAUCUUCCUUGGAAGCUAAAGCAAAAGUCCAACAAAGAGCCAAGGAGAAAGGUUUAUUUGUGUCCUGAGCCCACAUGCGUCCAUCACGACCCUUCAAGAGCUUUAGGAGAUCUAACUGGAAUUAAAAAGCAUUUCUCUCGUAAGCACGGUGAGAAGAAGUGGAAAUGUGAAAAAUGCUCAAAGAAAUAUGCUGUUCAAUCUGACUGGAAAGCACAUUCUAAGACUUGUGGUACUAGAGAAUAUAGAUGUGAUUGUGGCACCCUCUUCUCUAGGUAACAAACAUCAUCUUUAUAUUUAUAUCUUCACAUCGAUGUUAGUCUAAUUAUAUUUCAUAAAUAUGAAUUCAUCACUCUAUAUACAUAAUAUAUGCUACACUUUUGCCAAAUGUUAGGGUUAUACUUAUAUGGUUUGGUAUUGAAUAUUAUUUUAUUUUAUAGAAGUUAGUGUUUGAUUAUUUUUUUACUACCAAUUUUAUUAUAAGAAUUCGAUUAUUUUAAUCAUGUUUUUUUUCAUCAUUCAAUUGCAAGGAAAAUGGUCAUAAGUCAUAACAAUCUGAAGUUUUGCAAGAAAGCAAGUAAAAUCCAACCAAACCGUAGAUCAAACUCAUAGACUCCUUAUAUAUCGUUCUCUUUCUUUCCUCUUCGUAUUGAGCUCUAAUUUAUCUAAAUUGAAGUACUCUUUAAACUUCUUUACUAAGGAACCUUUUACAUAUAAAAAGGUGUGUGUAUAUAUAUAAAUAUAAUAAGUUGAAUUUUUUUACAAUAAGUAAAAACACACAAAGGUUAAAUUUGAACAACAGUCUCUUUUAUGUUCUUAUCCCAAAAAAAAGUGAACAAGAGCUUUCACCCUUUCUCUGUUAGUUUGUGUUUGGGUGUUAGUGAAGGUGUAUAUUGUAUGGCGCAGGAGACUGCAUGCACGUGAGUACACUGUUCAAAUGUAGUACAAAAAUUGAAAUGUUUGAAGGAAAAAAAAUCAACUUUGGUUUUAGGGAACCGUGCCCAUAAUCUUUUAACGUUCACGUGUAGUGAAACAACAUAAUAACUUUGUUCUCAUAUGAAAUGGAUUGGAGGAGAUGCUGGGUUUUGUUCUCUUUCUUGUUAGCUAUUUCUAGUUUUCAAAAUUCAAAUACAUUUCCAUGUUCUUUUUAGCAAUGGGUCCAAGGUGACUAAUUUCCAUGUUACUAACAGAAAAUUCUCUUCAUUAAUUGGUCAUGUUUCUCAUAUAGAUUUGCUAGAAAUUAUGUGAUAUAACGAAUUAUCUUGGUAGAAUAUAGACAAGUAUUGAGGUUGCUUGCAUUUAUUAAGUAGGCCCCAUAUUGAAAUUUUUGAGUAUUGACUUUCAUCAUAGUUGCAAACAAUUCUCUCUUUUAUUGAUCAAAGAAAGACCUCAAAUUAGAAGUUUGAUUUAGAAAUUCUUGGUUUGUUUCAAAUUUUGGCAUAAUCCCAUGGGCCCUCUACUUCAAUUGUAGUUUUCUUAAUUUCAACAUACUAUACUAGUUUCAAUUAAUUCCAAUUAAAACAAUUAGGUUACUCAUAUUCAUUACACAAAUAUAUGGGAUUAUAAUAUGAACUUCCAAAGGCGAACAUAACUAUUUUUGGUAAAUUUUAAUACAAUAUUAGAUAUGUUCUCCUUUUUACUAUAUAUGGUAGGGGUCUACAUUAUACCCACCCAAAAAAAUUGACAAUGAUAUAUAUAUGUUGCUUAAUUCUUUGUAAUUAAUUUUGGUGCAGGCGUGACAGUUUCAUCACUCAUAGGGCAUUUUGUGAUGCACUAGCACAAGAGAGUGUAUUAAGACACCAUAACCCUUUUGGGAGUACUCAUCAAUUGUAUGCCACAAACCAUCACAUUAGUUUAGGCCAAAUAUCCCAUCAAUUGCAAAAUCAUCAGAACCAAAUUACAUCAUCCACUAGCAACAAUAACAACCUUUUGCGCCUUGGAUCAGCACCACCAAAAUUUGAACAAAACUUAAUCUCAUCACCACCUUUAAAUCACUCUUCAUCAUUUGGACACUCAAUCCCAUCUUCAUCACCAUUCUUCAAUAUGAGUGAUAUUUCAAAUCAAUCCUUUGAAGAACAACAAUCUCAACAAGGACAAUUCUUAAACAAACAACUACAUGGUCUAAUGCAUCUUCCUGAUCUUCAAGGCAAUACAAAUACAAACAAUUCAAAUUCUUCCAAUCUUUUCAACCUUAUGGUUCAUGAUCAAUUCAACAACAUGAGUAGUACCCAAGGAACAACACUUUACAUUAACAACAAUAGCUCUUUAAGUGAUCAUCAAGUUGGUUUUGUCAAUUCAAUGCAACAUGGUCAAAACAUGUCUAGUCCUCACAUGUCUGCCACUGCAUUGCUUCAAAAAGCUUCUCAGAUUGGUUCAACUAAUUCUACCAACAAUAACAAAGGUAGUAAUAAUGAUCAUAAAUCAGGUGAUAGGGACUUUGUUGUGUCUGAUCACAACAACAUCAAUGCCACUUUUGGAAAUAGAAGUUCAAGUAUUGAAAAUGAUCAUGACAACAACGAUCUUCAUGGAUUGAUAAACUCUAUUGCAAAUGGAAACACAUCAUCCAUAUUUGGCAAUGAAAGCAAUCUUAAUAUGAGAUUUGGUGGAUCUGAUAAGUUAACUUUAGAUUUUCUUGGUGUUGGAGGAAUGGUCAGAAAUAUGAGUGGUGGAUUUUCACAAAGUGAACAACAACGUGACAUGAUGAAUACUAGUAUGGUUUCUUUGAAUCAUGACCUAAAAUCAGCACAUUCAAGUCAACAUUUUGGAAGCUCAAAUAUCUUGCAAUGAAGAUUGGGGUGAGAAAUUUAUUAAUUUAAGGAAAUAUUGCUUGUUAGUUACAUGUGAAUUAUUCAUUAAUUAAGUAGUAAACUUUGUUUCAAACAUUUAUUUAUUUUAUUUUUGUUUUCCUCAAAAGAAGUGCAGUUCAUUGGUAAAAUGAGGUUCCAAUUCUAGAAAUUACUACAAAUUACAAUCCCUUAUUUUAUUUUAACACGUCCCUUUCCUUAUUCUUUGCUCUCUAUGAUGUGAUAGAGAGAUGUAAUAAAUUCACUUUUGAAUUUCAUGUGUGAGCGAACAUGAGAUAAUAAAGUUUAUAGAAAAAAAAAAUUGAUUCAUUAUAGAUUUUCCUCUAAGAAAAUUAUUUCUCAAUCACAGAGGGUAAAAUUCCAUGCUCGAACCAAGAAAAAAUAUUCAACCUAACAAUUUCAGCAUUGUUAGUUGUGCUAGGUUUUACGGACCAGGACAUCAUCGUUGUCUACCAAUUUUUUUUUACAGAUUUGAGGCGAUUUAAUUUGGUUGAUAAACACGAGUAAAUUACUCAAAUGCCCCUUGGCAGUUAACUGCCGAAAUUUUAAAAAAUCGGCUGCAGUUAACUGUCGAGAAAUUUCAAACCUGAAAUUAAAUAAGGAAAUACACCUAUGUUUUCCUUAAUUAAAUUUAAAUCUUUAAUCCUUUUAAGGAAUUAAACAUAAUUAUUUUUAUGAUUUCAUUCAUAUGAUUUUGUUGCUAUAAAUGAAGAAAUAUGAGAGAUGAAUAAUAUCUGUAAUCGGUAGUUAAUAGACCUAAAAUGAUGAUUCAAUAAAAAAAAUGCAACAACAAAAACGUUACAAAUGAUAGAAUAAUUAUAUUUGUAAUUAUUAGUAAUUAAUUUCAUUGAUGUUGUUAUUAUUCAUAAGUUUGACUAACCUAUUAUUACUUUAUACUAAUAUUUUAGAUAUUAUUACUUUAAUUAACAUGAAAAACGCAACAACAAAAAAUAAGGGGGAUUUAUUGGAUUAAGAUUCUAUGGGAUUUUAAAAGAUUUUUUAAUUAUGAAAAAGUCUUGUGGUAUUCAAUCAAAACUUUUUGCAGCCGGUUCUUUAAAAUUUCAACAGUUAACUGUCGAAGGAUAUUUGAGUAAAUUACUCGUAUUUCUCAGUCAAACCAAAAGUGUGAACAGCAAUACUCAAUUUCAAAAACAUGUAUAUGCCACGGUAAAUAAAGCCAGUUGUUGACUUGUUGAUAGUUGUGUUGUUAUUACUUGUGUACAAAUGCUUACCAAACGAGGGUGGGAUGUUGGCACUCUGUUAUGUUAAGAAUCUUCACGUUUUGGCUAUAUUCCAAUGGAAGCGACAGAGCCUCAUUUCCGUUCAAUUUCAUCUUUGUUUUUUUAUAUACGACGUACAAAUACUAACUAACUAAAGGUACAUUAACUUUAAAAUAAAGCAAGAAAUUUUGUAGUAUUGCUUACCUAAUAUAUAUAUACCUUACUUUUAAAAAUACAUAUUAAAAUAUAUGUAAUAAAAAAUUAUAUUAAAUGCUAUAUAAAUGUUAAAUGUUAGAGUCUCACAUUGAAUAUGAGAAUAGUAUAACAAUAUGUUUACAAGUUAUUUAUAAUAGGUUCUUAAUAAUAAUACUAAAUAAAUAUCAAAACUUAUUUAUAUAGAAGUUAUUUUAGUAUUAUUAAGAGCCUAUACUUUUUUUUUGAGCAAAAGAGCCUAUACUUAAUUGAUAAGAAAUUGUUACCAAUAUACCAACUCCAUUAAGUACCAUAAAUUUGAGAAAGAGACCUUGCAUAUUUUUCAGGUGAUUUUGUUGACAUCUUUUUCUCUUAACACUAGGAAGGACCCUUUAGUUUUUCAUUGUAAUAUAAAUAUUCUUGUACAAGUUGACUACCUUUGAAUUUGCAUGUCGUCGUUGAUGGCUAUAUAUAGGGUUAGAUCUAACGUCAUUGUUCAUUUGGUGGAAGAUUUUUAUGAGGAGUGUGUGGUACAUAACAUAUGCAACAUAAAUAACAUAUUAGCAGUAGUCUCUGCAAUGUUCGUUAUUGUAAUUACUGGUAAAAUAGCUGCGACACUUUUGUCGCAUGUAAAUUCCUUCUUCACAUGGAAAUCACCCGUCCGUGAGUGAGUGAAUGAAUGAGUGACUAUUAACCAACCAACCCAGUCAUUUCAUUUCGCCUUCACUCUCUACCCGUUACAGUUUUUCUAACUUUCUUUCUUUAGAUUGAGUAACUUCAAUAAUGCAAUGCAACUAAAGAUUAUUACUUACAACUUCUAUGCUCAAAUAAUUGUUGCAAUGCAAUUAAACACUCACUCAUGCGUGUCCCCGUGAGCCUAAUCCAGUUUGUAGAGACAUUGCAUUAUAUAUAUAGAGGUUGGGGUUCAAACUCAAACACUCUACUUAUUCACCUUAAAAAAAAUGAAUUUAAGUCAAUUGGCUACCUGACUAAAAAAAAACGCACUCAUAUGUUUUAUUUCAUAAGCUGGUUUUAGACCUUUUUAUCUGAAAAACUUAUCUCACAUUGUAGUUGAUAUGUAUGGUUAGACCUUUUGUGAGGUUUGUGUGUCCCCUAGUCUAUCACUCUCUCACAGUUAAACUACUUUGUUUUUGAGAGGUUUGUAUACCUUACUUAAAAACAACUAUCAUUCUCUCAUCAAUUUCAUCAUUAAGCUAUUAAAAUUAACUAAAAAGUACCUAAACUAUUCUCACAUAUAACUAUUAGCCCCUUGGUUGACAAAGUUAAUUUUUUUUAUGAUGGUUUAUGGACUAAAUUGAUAUAUUUUUUAUAGUUUAAAGAUCUUCUAGUUGAUUUUAAUAACUCGAAGGCUAUAUAUGUGAAAAAAUUGAUAGUUUAAGGAACAAGUUGAUUGUUUAUUCUUAAUUUGAUUGAAGUCUACUGGCACACAAAUUUACAAGGAUACGGUGGAUAUGGGGAAGUUAUACCUGAUAUCCCUACAUUUAAUCUUUUACCCCCUACAAAUUGUUGAAAAUGCCAAAUUUACCUUUUAUCAUUUCACUUCACCCUGCAUAAAAUUUUAGCCAACAAUACACUUCCGAGAUUUAAUACUCCAAUUUUCGGAAUAUUCAUAUCAAAUUUUUAUGGUAGAUUAAUUUGUAAACCGGAACAAUUGAGUAAAGAAUUAUUAUCAGAAUUCUUUCUUCUUUCAUCGAGGUUUGAGAGACAAUGAAAGAUGGAAAAUAGAAUACAACAACCUGUAUUAGUUAAUAUAAAAUUAAGUGCAAAGCAAAGAUCAUGAUACCAAACCUCAUCAAUUCUUCUUCCAAUUCAUUUUAUUUAGAUCUAAAAAAAUGAAAGGCCGUAUAUUUCUGGAGUAGAAUUUUAGAUGUAAGGUUGGGAAAUCAAAAAACCUGGCUAAAACUGCAGAAACCUGUUUUCUGAAUUCUUUCUAAAAAAACAGUGUAAAAAAAUGCUUGUCUCUUUAUCUGUAGAUCUAAAAAAAAAUCAUUUCUAAUUCAUCUUGUUUGGAAAUAUGAAUACGAAAAGUUGUAUAUUUUAAUUUUUUUUAUUUUUACAAAAUACCGUUGUUGGGAAUGUGAAUAAUCUAAGAUUAAAUGUAGGGGUGGUAAAAGAUUAAAUGUAGGGGUAUAUGGUAUAAUAUCCUGGAUAUGGUAGGCUUAUAUUACUUAGAACCCAAAUCAUGUUACUUAGGCCCGUCAUCAUGGACUUUUUUCAUGUGGUUUCCAUGCAGGCUAGUUGAAUAUUGCUCUUUAGGCAUCCAUGUUUUGCUCUCAGACAUUUUGAAAUUAUUAUUUUACCUCAAUGAAAAUUAAUUACCAUUUGUUGAUGAACGAUGGUUAGUUUUCAUUCUCUUAUGAACAGUAGUUAAUUGUCGUUCUAGGGCAUUUUAUGUGGUUCAGAUUGCGCAGACAGUUUUUGUGGUCCACGAUACAUAAAAACUUCUAUAAAUUGGUGUGUUUGGUUCAUUUGAAACCACACCACAAAAUCAUGAAUAUUUAUCUAGUAGAUCCGAACACCAAAUUAGCGCAGUUAACUACAACGGGGAAAACUCAAUAUGUUUAGGGUUCAGGUUAAUGCUAUAUCGGUUGACUUGAAGGAACAUAGUUGGACCAAAUUAACAGUCGACUCAACCACAAAGACACAAGAAAGGUGGAAAGUGUUGAGUAUCGUCAUCCAUUCGUUUGACUCAUAUGAAAGCGUCAAGUUCACCCAUAUGAAGUUCAAGAACAACGACAUCGUGAGAACCAUCAAGUUAGACGCUUCAUUGGUCAAAUAUUUUUUAGAUGUUCCGGAAAGUUUGAUUCAGAUUAGGACCUUCAAAGAAAACAGGACUUGCAUGGAUAGACCAAAAGAAAUAAGUAUGUCUUAUUCGUGAUUUUGUAUGUGUUUUAUUAUGUUGUUAAAUUAUGUUAGUGUAUUGUGUUUUAUUAUGUUUAAUGUAUGUUUUUGUUAACUUAUGUCAUUGAAAUUAUGUUAAUGUAUUGUAUUUUAUUAUGUUUAAUGUAUGUUCUUCUGAGCUUUCCUUUGUAACUAAUGAUUAACUACAGUUUCUUCUGAAAACAACAAUUAACUAUUGUUCCUAGAAUGGGAGUUAACUCUUGUUUAACAACGAAAAAUAAUUAAUUAUUAUUUCGGAUAAAAUAGUCAAUUUGAGACGUGUUAAAACAAAGUAUGAGUGUCUAACGAACAAUUUUCAAGAUAGUUUAGUCCUUUUUGGGUUCUACCUUUUUUUUUUAUGAGUAACUUCUACACCUAGUUUCCAUUCUUUUUUGUGUUAAUUGUCCGAUUUCUUAGCAUGUGCGUAACUCACGCAGCGUGACUUAAGUCACACAUGUGUAAAAACUAAGUCAUGUAUUUUUUACACUUGCGCUAAUUAACUAACGCAAGGGUAUUUUCGGCAACACUGCAGGGCGCGAGUGUUUUGUGUUGGGUGAAGAGCAGAAUUCUAAAGUCAUAUAUAUAUAUUAUGGUUUUAAAAGGGUAAUUGCUAAAUCAGAUUCAUAGGAAGCAACUAAGUUAAUAUUGAAAGGGCAUGGUAAAGGGCACCCUUGUUCUCAUAUCAUUUCUCAUAUUUCUAAUUUUCUUGUCUAAUUCAUGAGUUACAAGUUUCAACGUGUCUAACGUGAAGCCAACAAAGUCGUGAAUGCUUUUGCAAGGAAUAUCCAACUUCAAAGUAUUAGCGCAGCUUUAACUUGAUGAACAAACUUAGAGUUUUCUAGGGUUUUAAUUUGAUUUUGUUGAAAUAGAGAGAGAAUGAGAAGAAUGGGUGAAUGAGGAGACAAGAAGUAUUAAAGUUGUGAUUUCAUUUAUAUGUAAAAAUACACAUGAAAGUAGCUUAUAUACAUGGUUUUUUGCUAGGUUACUUGAAGUACAAGUCAUAUAACAAACCCUAAAUACCUUAAGCUAAAAUCUAGUAAAUUUGUAACAAACUAUUAACAAACUAAACUAACUAGAUUUCUAAUGUGAUUAACCAAACAAGCUUGAUUAGAUCACUAACAAACUUGAAUUAUCAACUAACACAAAGUUGCGAUAAUAUAAAAAUAAUAUCAGAACUAGUCUCUCUUCAAAUGAAUGAUGCAUCACAACUUAUCUUUCUCCUUUGAUGGAAAAAUUUGUUCUAAUACCAAUUAUUGAAGGAAAAAAAUCAAUAAAAAAUCUUUAAACAAGCGGGAACACAACCACAAAAUAAGUAAAAGAGAUAAAAACAAAUCACAAGCCUAUUUUUCGAUACUUCACAGUUCACACCUUCAUUCAUAAUAUCUUAACAAAAUAUUUGUUACAAAAAUAUGCAUAGUUUUACUAGGAAUUGCAAACCCUCUUGUACAAUUAUAAUUUUUGCACAGAAAUAUUGCAAACUAAUCUUUCUCAAUUACAAUUUUUGUAAGAAAAACUACAAACUCUUUCAUGACACACAACUACCCAACCUCUUUUUUUUUUUUUUUUUUUUUCAUUACUCGAUGUGCGAUGUGAAAGAAUAUCAAUUUUAGAGAACAAAUGGCUAUAAUUUAUAGGUGGCCUUUAUGAUUUUUGGCACAAAUUUUCAUACUGUGAAAUGUGAAUAGAUGCAUGUGCAGAGAUGGAGUUCAUAAUUUAAAUCUUACGUUAAAAAUAAAACAAGUUUUUAAUGUUAUAGUUUAAAAAUAAAAAAUUGUUUCUUAUAUACAAUAUUUUUAUGAAUAUUUACAUAGUUCUUAAAAAAAUUAAUAAUGAAUGGUAUAUUCGUGUCCUGUAUGACACAAUGAAACAUAUGCACAUGAUUAAAUUAUACAUUAAGCCUAAUCAUAUGAUCUGAAAAGAUUUUCUCUACAUUUCGUCGAGCUAGCAAGGUAGAUAGAUGUCAACUAAUAAGUUGAUGAAAUCGGCUAAAAAAGAUUCCCAGUUGAAGUUUAUUAUUUUUUUGGUGCAACCCAGUUGAAGAUUUUAUUAACUUUGAUGAUGGCUCUGAACUACCAAGUUUUCUAGAACUUGAACAAGUCCUUAAUUUUAGUUGAAUUGCAAUACUAUGUCUAUAUGUAUAGUAUACCGUUUCUGGUUUCAUAGUCUGUUAAUUUUAAGGAAUUUUUUCAAGUGGCUCAAAAAAAACAUAUACAGUACAUUCUUUAGUUUUAUUUACAUCGUUUUCAAUCUCUUUCGCUUUUUUAAAUAUUUACGCAGAAAACAUUUUUUUUUUUUUUUCAAUCAGAAAGAGGCAAAAUUAAGAUUUGCAUUGGUUUUAGUCAUCACCUACUACAUUAAAUUACUAUUUGUGGAAAAUAUUGUUUAUAGCGUGAAACUGUGCUCUGACUGGCUCACAUGCAAACGGACAGUGGCAAUAUUGUUUAAGGAAGUAUUAAUCUUUUUUUUUUUUUUUUUUUUGACAGAAACCAUAUAGUAUUAAUCUAUUAUUACUACUAUAUAUGCAUAAAAAAGGACCAAUUAACCGACAUGCUUUGAGUUAUUUUGUGUUUUUUUUUUUUAUUGUUUCUGAAAAAAUCAACCAACAUGCUUCUUUUUUUGCGCUAACUAAAACUAAUUUAUUUAUGCUACUAAUCAAUUUAUUAAGACUAAAACUUGAGUACAAGUUAGUCUUUUUUUUUGUAGUUGGUGACCUACAAGUGGUACUCUUGUACUCAUUAUACUCAAAGUCAAGGGUACAUGCGUAUGUGUUAUGCUGAAUUCGAAAAUUCAUAGUCAAGACCCAGCAAUAUCAAGAUAUAUACACACAUGUCCUAAAGUGCAUUCUGGAGAAUAAGAACUACAAGUCUAAAGUUUUUCUUUUUGUUAGUAAAGUUAUUUUAGUCCAAGUUUAGACUAUACAACGCUGACUAUGAAAUAUGAAAGGAAAAAAAAACCUUCAAUUUUUGUCAAAAAAAUAAAUUCCAUUGUCUCUAACUAAUUAUUGAAAUUUUAAACAUGUGUUUGGUCUAACGGUAUGGUAGAAAAAAUCACGGCAAAAAUUCACGGUAACUACAAAAUCUAAAAAUUUGUAAUUUCUUUGAAAUUUGAGUUUGUAACUUCGAACGUCAAAUAAUCGUUCAUUAAGUCUCUAAAGCUCACAUGAUCAGACCAGCUUUGAUUGCAAAAUAUGACCAACUAAUUACUAAUAAACAUUUAAUUUUGUUAGCAGAUCAAUUUAUCUGUUUAAUGUUAAAAUAAAUCUGAUCCAAUUCAAUACUUUUGGACAUAGAUUGAAAUGGUUUCCCCCCCCCCCCCCCCCCCUUUUUUUUUUUUUUUUUUGUAAACUAGGUAUCCUCCGCGCGCAACUGCGGAGACUAAUCCCUCGAGCAUUGUGAGACCCAAAUGGACGGCAGACUCUCCCUAAGAGUUUUAACGCUGCUGGAGGUAUUGUAAAUAAUAUUUUGUGUUAUAUUAUUUUUAAGAGUGUAUAUUUCUAUAUAAAAAGAGUGAGUUUUGCCUUCAACCUCGAGGUAAUCGGUUUGAGACCUAGGCACUGAGAACAUGAGUUUUUUCGAUUAGCUCUUUAAAAAAUUAUUUAUAGGAGGAAUAAUUGUUUUUAUGGAAUUUGUCGUGUAAUAAAAAUCUAAAUCGUCUAGUCUACAAUUUUGUAUAGUCUUCAAUUAUGUUGUGAAUUCGGGCUUUGAAACUUCACACCAAUCCAAACUAUGAUGUGUGGAGAAAGUAUCAAUGGCAACCAACAACCAAAUUAACCAUAAGCAAUAACAAUAAUAUAUACCAAGUCUAUAAACCAAGUGCAUAGCAAAAUCACAAUCCAACCAAAUAAUAAACAAGAUAAAAGAGUAAAGAAAAAUAGACAACAACACCAAGAGAUUGUUCACCCAGUUCGGUCCAACCAUGACCUACUCUGGAGGAGAGAUUGAUCUCUUCAAUCCACUAUCAAUGAGUUCUUACAAAGAGAUACAAAUGAGUUACAAGAAAUUAGCUUCAACAAGCUCACAAAAAACAACCCUAAUUUCUACCAAUUUUCCCAAUCUCACCAAUGAACAAGACACUCAUGAUUUUUACUCUCCCAAGGUGUUUACAAUUGUUUCACAACUCUAGAAUCUAACCCCCAAAAGAGAACCAACUCUUAGCCUUUGAUUUCACUUAGGAUCUUCUCUUUUGGUUUCACAAGACUCACCCAAGUUGCUCGCAAAUGACUCUCCACUCAUGUGUUUCCCAACCCCAUGAAUCUUCUCCAAAAGGCACCAACCCUUUUCACAAGAGCCCCCUCUUUUGGUUCUCCAAGAUUCACAUCUUGAAGCUUUGAACCUCACCCAAAGACCCUCAACCUUUAGUAUCUAAAACCCUAAAAGUUUCAUCCUUUGGUUGUUAUGGGAUUCACCAAGCUUACCCAACAAAUGGAUCAGGGAGUGUUUAAAACAUGUUUCAGAUCUGUCAAAAUCGUGUCACAUUUUGCCUUCAGAACCAAACAUGCAUUCGGCAUCAGAAAUCGUGACACGGUUGCCAAAUCGUGUCAUGAUUCUUCACUUUCAUAAAGACUUAAUUUUGAGUCAUAUAUAUACCAACAAAUUCAAAUUAUAUAAAUGGACGGUAUAUUCUUUAGUAAAAGUAUUAUUUCACAAUUUAAUACGUAUUAUUAAAAGAAAUUAGAAACAAUUAUCAAAAAAUUAUGAUAGAUAAUAUAUUAAACUCGUCUAGUGUGUGUGUAUUUUUGAAGGAUAGUGUGUGUGUGUAUUAACAUCAUUCUCUAAUUAUUUUUGUAGGGAAACAAUGUUGGUUAAAUUGAUGUGUACUUUUUUUUGUAAAAAAUAAUCGACGUAUUUUUAAAUGAGAUUUACAUGUAGAGAGAGACAGCGGUAGACAUAGUAGUAGAACAAUUAAAAUUUAAAAGACCACUUUACAAAUUGCACCAAGUGGUCCUCUAAAAAAGAUCACCGACAGUUGCUUCACUUUACCUUCAUAUAUUUUAGAGCAAUGAUAUUUGAACAAUUAUUUAGUACAACAUUUUUUGACAAUCUUCUUUUUCUCUCUUUUUAUUGGUCAAAAAUAAUGAAGAGAAAAAAGAAGAGAUAGAGUAAAAAUAUAAUAUGAAUAUGAGAAAAAAAAUUGUCUAAAAAUUAUCACAAAAUGGUUGUACAAAUAUUAUUUCUCCAUAUUUUAGACACAGGCUAAUCAUUAAUUAAUUUGUGUAAAAAAAAACAAUAAUAUUAUUUUGACAACAUUAUUCAACACCUUAUCUUUCUUUCAAAAAACAUUAUUCAACACCUUAUGUUCAUAUUAUCAUUUGAUUUUCUUAAUUAUGUUUUACAUCAGUCACAUCAAGUGACAUUUUACACGCUUAUCAAUUUUUUUUGUCAAGUAGCCUAGUGUUUAGAACUCAUAUAAUUUAAUUGUGAAGAAAUGAAGUGUCAGAGAUUCGAACUCCAACCCCUGCAUAUAAUAUGCAAUAUCCCUACCAACUGAACUAAGCUCACGAAGAUCGCGGUUAUCAAUUUUUGUAGUUCAAAUAACAUCACUAAAAAAAGCUACGAGGCAGACGCACAAAUUUUCAUUGAGCAGUUGUGUUAAUUAAUUUUAUAACGCAAGGAAAAUGGUGAAGUUUUUGUGAAUAGAGAAAUGAUAUAUAUACAAUCAUUUUCAAACAACUUUUGUAAUAACUUUAUCUCUCAUUUUUAUAUUUUAUUUUUAUUUUUUUCUCUAUUAUUUUGGUUUUCGUUUAUGAUUUUUUGUAAGAAAAUGAUUGUCUAUGUAGUUAUCAAUCACAUUGAUGUUCAAAUAACAUUGCUUUUGUGAAUAAUGCAAAAUAGUUUCUCGGAACAAUCAAUUAUUCAAUUGAUAUUUACGAAAUUAGUUUUUGUAGGGUGUCCCUAUAAAUCACAUAUACUUUAAAACAGUCAUAUGUAUUCACGAUUCGAGAUCUUAUAAAAAAACCAUUCCAGAUCAUGUAUGAAAAUGAAAUAUAUAUUUUUUUUGACUGGUGUAUGAAAAUGAAAUAUUUUCAAAAAUAAAAUAUACUCUCUGCCCAUAUAAUGUCAGCGUAGGUGUCGGUGUUUUUCUACCGACUAUAAGAAAAACUGUAAAAUAAAUAAAACAAUAUAGUAAUUUAAAUUAGUGAUUGUAAAUUAUUGUCUUAAAUGUAUAGUUCAAUAUAAUAGAUUAAAAAUGAUGAAAAAAAUAUUAAUUUAAGAGUAGAAUUGAAAUAACAUAUAUGUUUUCGAUAGUUUAACUAAAUUGAUAAAGACAUUGCAUAAUAAUAUACAAGUGUUUUGAAAUUCCAUUUAUUCAUUACAUGUGAAUUUUUAGAUAUUAAACUAUUUGGAAAAUAAAAUAAAAUAUCAAAUAAUUAAGGUUUAAAUAUGUAAGUAGUCCCUGUAAUUUCGCGUAUUUUUGUUUUCGUUCCUGUAAGUUAUUUUGUUCUAAAACAAACUCUGUAUUUUGCUAACCUUUUGGAAAAGGUCCUUGCCGUCAGCUUCCGUCAACAAAAACGCCAUGGUGGCUAACGGAGCACACGUGGCAGUUCAUGAGUUGGCAAAGUUGAUGAGAUGGAAUGAGAGAUGAUAAGUUGUUAAAAUACAGGGACUAAAAUCAAAAACGUAAAUUGACACAGGGAUGAAAUUAAAAAAACGUUUAAUCUUCUUUUUCCUCUCAAAUUUCAGUCUUCUUCUUCCUCUCAAACUUUCCCCAAUCUAUCCCAUACCUUGCGCCCUUGAACCAAAACUCAUAUCCUUCAACAAUUUAUUCUAAUUCCAUUACUCAAUCAUAUUGUGUGUUUUGAUUGUAAUGUUAAGUUGAAACAUUGUAUGCUACUUAAGUUUGAUUAAUUUAGUGAUGGUUGUUGCGAUUGAUUGCAAAUUCAUUCAUAAAGUUUGUAGAUAAUAAAGGCAAGAAUACAUCUUUUUCAUCCCUCUUUUUUUUCCACAAUUCCCUCUUAUUCUUCCAGAUUGCUACAAUUACCAUACAUAAAUAGUCAGAUCCCCUUUCAUCUUUUCUCACUCACAUUCAAAUUCAAACUCUAAUUUCUCAAAUUUUUGCUUUUGAAUUGUGUAAUUUUGUGUUUUUAUGUAAUUGGUGUAGAGAGUUUAUGUUGUUUUAAUGUGUUGAUUAAGAGUGGGUCUUGUUGUUGUUGAUUGAUGAUUAUUAGUUUUGUUUAAAAAAAUAUAUAUGUUUGUUGUUUUCUUUCUUUUCCUGGGUUUGGUGUUGAUGAUUUAUGAAUAUGGUGAUGAAGAUGAAGAAGACAAUGAAGGAAGAAGAAGAAUAAGAUCUUGAUUUUAAAUUUGAAAUUUUGAUUUUACGUUUUUUAUUUUAGUCCCUGUGGUAAUUUACGCUUUUGAUUUUAGUCCCUGACUUUACACAACUAAUCAUCUCUCAUGCCAUCUCAUCAAAUGUGCCAAGUCAUGACCUGCCACCUGUGCUCCGUUAGCCACAAUGGCGUUUUUGUUGACAGAAGCUGAUGGUAAGGACCAUUUUCAAAAGGUCAAAAAGAUACAAGGUUUAUUUUAUAUAAAAAAAAAAACUUACAAGGACGAAAACAAAAAAUACGCGAACUUAGAGGAACCUUUUACAUAUUUAAGCCAAUAACUAAUAGCACUUAUUUUGGUACAUUUCUCUUUUGCAAAUGUGAAACUUAAUAUUGGAUGGGGUCAAUAAUUUUGAGAAUGAAUAAACCCAUUAUUUAGUCUUUUAAUUUUUUUUUUCCAUCCAUCAGGUUUCUAAACUAUUUACAAACACUAAAUGUCCUUAAGACAUAGCUCAAGUAACAAUAUUGAUAUUGAGAAGUUGGAUAUUUUCAUCCGAGUUUGAACUCGAAUUCUUGCAAUUACGAGUGUGAAUUUCAGGUAAUUUAUAUCAAUUUAUCUGUAAACAAAAGGAGAUAUAUACGCGUAACAAAUAGGUCUAAUGCAAAUUAACAACUUAUUUUUAGUUUAUAAAAUAUAUGAAAUUUAAUCCUUUAGUCCCUAGUAUAUUUUAACAAUGGGCACUAAAGCAACAUAUAUUUCAUAUAUUUUAAAUACUACUACAUCUUUCCUUAUGUAUAAGCUCAUUUGACAUUUUCACAUAUAUUAAAAAAGUUAGUAGUGUCUUGACAAAAAAGAAGCUCCUUAGAGUUUCCUUAUGUAUAUUUUUUUAAACCGAAAAAAUUGUGUACAAAAAAUGACUAUUAUUACUAAAAAAAAUCUUUUGCAUAUAGAUGUGUUCAACAUUUAUUUUGCAAUUCUCAAGACAAAUCAGUGGUACAUCUUAAUAAGUGAUAUAUUUGUUAGGAAAAAAAAUUACUAUAUGUAUCUAGUUAUUUGCAAGACUAAUGAUUCUUAGCAAAUAUGCUUAUAUUGAGAGAACUUUUUUCUAAAGAGAGCUUAUAAUUAGAGACUAAGAUUUUGCCAAAAAAUAAAGAAAAAUUAGAGAAUAAGGUUUAUACUAUACUUUAGAAACUAAUUUGAUGAGAUACGACUAAAUCGAAGAUAUAUUUUUUUAGAAUAGUGUUAGAACCUUAGAAAUUAUAAUCAAUAGAAAUAGAAAUGUUCCUUACAGAUCCAUAAUAGUGACAAUCUUGUCUUUUCUUUUGAGGAAAUAAUAAUAAAGGUGGUGCCAACAUUUCAACAAACCUAGCUAUUUUAAUUAUUCUGUUCUCACAGCCUGCACCUUAGAUCAAAUCCAAAUUGGGUCAUCACCGUUCCAAAAUGCUUAGGGACGUUACUCUAAAUGUCAAUAUGAAUGAGUAAUUCAAAUAGUUAACAUAGCCCGCCAGCCUUAUAUAAUAAUAUCAAUAUAUGUCGACUAAUUAUCGAGAUGCUAAAUUGGAGUACACUUCACAAACAAAAAUCUUUCAUAAGGCGUUUUUUCUCUUAAUACAUUUUUUCUUUUCUUAUGCUAGUAACAUUUACUCUGUAUUGGCCUUCCUAAGAAGAAGUUGGAUAGUAGCAAUGUGUUCGUGAGACUGCUGAUAUCUUAAAAGAAUGUUCUCAUAGAUUCCACUUUUUUAGUAAGCUUUUAUGUGUAUGAGUUUGCAAAUUUAACCCUUUUUAAUUCGGAUAGAUUUAUAAGUCACACCUUCAAGUACAAUCGACAAAAUUUCAGUAAUAAUUACGGUUUAGGGUUUAUGGGUCUAGAUCUACUAAAAAUGAGUGGGUGUAUAAAUUAGUAUAUCCUAGAGUUUAUUAUCUUACGUUCGAUCUUCUUUGCAGAAACUCGUGCAUGUUCGUGAUAUAUAUUUUCGCGAGAAGUACAUUUCCCUAAAACAAAAUCAACCACUGACAUAAACACGUCAAAUGUAAGCCGGUAAAUCCAAGCUUUACUAACACGAGUUAUAUUAUAUCAUUGGCAUCAGCUACUUAAGAACUACUGUAGAAAAUUUACAGCAAGUCAUCGAGGCUUAAUAAAAUGUGUUGAUAUAGUUACAAAGAUAAAUUAAAUAGCAGAGCAUACAUGAAGAGAACAAAUGUAGAGCAACCCCUUAAACAAACCCUCUCAGUAAGGUAUCUUCACAUUACUCUAAGUUCAUAAAAGAUGACUUUAAAAACGAUUAUUUCAAAAUGCAAGUAUUCUCCGACCCCUUUUUCCCGGAUCUAGAUCUAAUAGUGUAAGGAUAUAUAUAAAUCAUUGUCACAUUUUACAACUCAAGAGUUUACCUCAACUCGUUUUGUUUAGGUAAAUUCGACUCGAGAACUCGUAUGACUUUACCUAAAAUUAAAAUUAUAUAAAAUUUAUUAUAUAUGCAUGACAUAUGUAAGUUAAUAUAAUAUUGUAAAUAGGUCAAUAGUGCAAAAUAUGACUUAAUUACAAAGACAAAUUAUACCAUAAUAAAAUGUUAUGCUCAACUUAGCUUCAAAAUACAAAAAUUAACGCACAAAAUCAUAAGUCUCUAAGUUUAAGCCAUCCAUAAAACCAUCCAAAAAAAGAAAGUUUCACAAGUUCCUAAAGUUAUUAAUAAAACUAUCUAAAAAAUAAAGUAGUUAAUUUCUUCAAAACGUCAACAAACACCACCACAACAACCCUAACCAGUGUCACAAUCACCGGCGUUGAAAUAUGAAUUUCCACCGUCUGAAUCACAACCCUAAAUGGUAUGUGCUCCCCUGUUCAUGGUUUGAGAACUUAGAAAAGAAAAAGGGCAAUCCGGUGCACUAAAGCUCCCACAUACGCAGGGUCCGGGAAGGGGUCCCACCAUUUUUUGUGUAUUGUACGCAACCUUACCCUGUUUUUGAUCACAAAAGAAAAAGAAACGUUUCAUUUUAGGAACAACUUGUCACUGUAAAGGUAACUAUUAAUUAAACGUUUCAGUCUUUGGGGUUGUAGAAAAGGAAUUGGAUUUUGAAAAAAAUGGGCACAUAAAAAGGGCCAAUUUUUAGAUGUAAACUCGUAAAACUCAGUAAACUCGGUCGAGUUUACACGAGUUUACCUAGUGUUAACUCGGUCAAACUCGUUAAACCUUCCAAUUUUACCAGAAACCGAGUUUACCUCCGAAUUAACAUGAUUUUGGCACCUACGUAAACUCGAAGAGUUAACACUCAAUUUGCGGAACAUUGCAUAUAUAUUUAAAGAUAUAUGUAUAAUUAUAGAGAAAGUAGAGAAGGGAUAUACCAUUUUAUGUAGGGUUAUUAUGUAUCAAAUCAUAAAGAGUCGAGAGUUGUAUUAUACCAUAAUAUUCUUCCGUAAACUGGUAGUCAUGAUCAUGACGUAUAUUAUUCAAGUAUAUGCAAAAACAUGUCUGUAUCUAGUCUAAAUUUUUGACCAAAUGCAUGUAUUUGCUUAUAUUUUGUUACUACUUACUACUCGCCAAGUAAUGCUCAAUAUCUAAUAUAUAUAUUUCAAGACCAUCAAAGAUAACUCAGUUGAACAAUACAUAAUAUAUGCAAGGUUCGGGGUAUAUUACAUUUUCAAUUAUUCUAAUAAUAAAUUUAAAUGACACUUAAAUUAUACAACUAUUAAAUAGAUCUUAGUACCGUAAAAUUUAUAUUCGAGACUUGCUAGGGAGAACCAUCAACCUCAACAAAAAUUUCUACUUGAAUCUAACGCAAACAAAAGGUCCAACCAUCUAUGAAUCUCCGUUGAUAUCACAAAUGAUGUUUGAUACAAGAGAGACAUAUUAGAACAUAAUCUAUGUACAAUCUACAUUAAAAUAAAAAACAAGUCUACAGUCAUAUAAAUAACACAAUUUCAAAAUCUCAAAAUUAGGUAUGAAAACAAAAUGAUUAGAAAAAUAAAUGAUUCAAUCAUUCCGAGAUUUGUGCAAAAAAAAAAAAAAAAACAUUUUGAAAAUACAAUGUUAGAAACUUAUGAUCAAUAUAUAUUUUUCCUUACACAUCAAAAAUAAUUAAGCUAUAUUCUUGUCUUUUCAUUUUGGGCAAACUAAAAUUAAAAUCAAGGUAGUGUCAAUGUUUCUAUAGUCCUAGCUAUUUGAUUUUCUUCUAAGCUAACAAGAGUCUUCCAAAAUCAAAUUCGCGCUCAAAAUUAAAGCAACUUGGGUGGUAACCAUUCCAAAAUACUUAGGGCCACAUUGCUCUAAAAGUCAAUAAGAAUAAGUAAUAAUUCAAAGAUAGCCAACCUUAUAGUAUAUUUUAAUAUGAAUGUAUGCAUGUUUCCUAGAAGGUGAGUAAGCUAACUAAUCAAGAUACUUUGUUGGAGUUAAAUAUGGUAAAGAAUCCAACUAUAAAAUGGGGACUUGCCCCAGCAUUCUUUCACAAACCAAAACCAACUUCUAAGAAAAAAAUGAGGUCCCUAAUGGCCUCUGCUUCUCUCACUCUUGCAUUAGCCAUCCUCUUUUUGAGUUUCCCAUCUGAAAUUUCAGCAAACAAAUACGCAUAUUCCUCUCCACCACCACCACAUUACUCAUCUCCUCCACCUCCACCGGUUCACACUUACCCUAAACCAGUCUACCACUCUCCACCACCACCAGUUCACACCUACCCUAAACCAGUUUACCACUCUCCACCACCACCAGUUCACAAGUACCCUCACCCUAAACCAGUAUACCACUCUCCACCACCCCCAGUUCACAAGUACCCUCAUCCACACCCAGUCUACCAUUCUCCACCACCCCCAGUUCACAAGUACCCCCAUCCUCACCCAGUGUACCACUCUCCCCCACCACCACCACCAAAGAAGUCCUACAAAUACCCAUCUCCCCCACCACCACCAGUUCACACCUACCCUAAACCAGUCUACCACUCUCCUCCACCCCCAGUUCAUCACACCUACCCUAAACCAGUCUACCACUCUCCUCCACCCCCAGUUCACACCUACCCUCACCCUAAACCAGUCUACCACUCUCCACCACCCCCAGUUCACACUUACCCUAAACCAGUCUACCACUCCCCACCACCACCAGUUCACACCUACGUCCCUCACCCUAAGCCAGUCUACCACUCUCCACCACCACCAGUUCACACCUAUCCCCCACAUGUUCCCCACCCAGUUUACCAUUCUCCUCCUCCUCCAGUUCAUUCCCCACCUCCACCACACUAUUACUACAAAUCACCUCCUCCACCUUACCACAACUAGAUAGCCCAUAAUUGGCAUCACACCAUAUGGUAACUUUUCAUGCAACAUAUAUAUUAUAACUUUUCAUAUUCUCUCUUUAUUAACUAGUUAUCGGUAUGAUUGUCGAGUAUAUACUAACAAGGCUAAUUUGAAAUGAAACUUCAUGUGCAAUGAAACAUUCUUUUACUGGUUAAUAUUUUAUUCUAUGUUUCAUUGAAAUUAAUAUUUUUCUAAUAGUAUUUGGUUAUUAAGGGAUUAGAGUAUAUCAGACAUAAACUGACAGAUCAAUAUAUUUGCAUUUGUGUAGGAUCUAAAC